rnacentral:rRNA from 1 species
AGACUUUGAUUAUGGCUCAGGAUGAACGCUGGCGGCGUGCCUAACACAUGCAAGUCGAGCGAUCUCUUCGGAGAGAGCGGCGGACGGGUGAGUAACGCGUGGGUAACCUGCCCUGUACACACGGAUAACAUACCGAAAGGUAUGCUAAUACGGGAUAAUAUAUAAGAGUCGCAUGACUUUUAUGUCAAAGAUUUUUCGGUGCAGGAUGGACCCGCGUCUGAUUAGCUUGUUGGCGGGGUAACGGCCUACCAAGGCGACGAUCAGUAGCCGACCUGAGAGGGUGAUCGGCCACAUUGGAACUGAGACACGGUCCAAACUCCUACGGGAGGCAGCAGUGGGGAAUAUUGCACAAUGGGCGCAAGCCUGAUGCAGCAACGCCGCGUGAGCGAUGAAGGCCUUCGGGUCGUAAAGCUCUGUCCUCAAGGAAGAUAAUGACGGUACUUGAGGAGGAAGCCCCGGCUAACUACGUGCCAGCAGCCGCGGUAAUACGUAGGGGGCUAGCGUUAUCCGGAUUUACUGGGCGUAAAGGGUGCGUAGGCGGUCUUUCAAGUCAGGAGUUAAAGGCUACGGCUCAACCGUAGUAAGCUCCUGAUACUGUCUGACUUGAGUGCAGGGGAGGAAGGCGGAAUUCCCAGUGUAGCGGUGAAAUGCGUAGAUAUUGGGAGGAACACCAGUAGCGAAGGCGGCUUUCUGGACUGUAACUGACGCUGAGGCACGAAAGCGUGGGGAGCAAACAGGAUUAGAUACCCUGGUAGUCCACGCUGUAAACGAUGAGUACUAGGUGUCGGAGGUUACCCCCUUCGGUGCCGCAGCUAACGCAUUAAGUACUCCGCCUGGGGAGUACGCACGCAAGUGUGCAACUCAAAGGAAUUGA